rnacentral:rRNA from 1 species
GGGUUGUGAGGUUAAGCGACUAAGCGUACACGGUGGAUGCCCUGGCAGUCAGAGGCGAUGAAGGACGUGCUAAUCUGCGAUAAGCGUCGGUAAGGUGAUAUGAACCGUUAUAACCGGCGAUUUCCGAAUGGGGAAACCCAGUGUGAUUCGUCACACUAUCAUUAACUGAAUCCAUAGGUUAAUGAGGCGAACCGGGGGAACUGAAACAUCUAAGUACCCCGAGGAAAAGAAAUCAACCGAGAUUCCCCCAGUAGCGGCGAGCGAACGGGGAGCAGCCCAGAGCCUGAAUCAGUGUGUGUGUUAGUGGAAGCGUCUGGAAAGGCGCGCGAUACAGGGUGACAGCCCCGUACACAAAAAUGCACAUGCUGUGAGCUCGAUGAGUAGGGCGGGACACGUGGUAUCCUGUCUGAAUAUGGGGGGACCAUCCUCCAAGGCUAAAUACUCCUGACUGACCGAUAGUGAACCAGUACCGUGAGGGAAAGGCGAAAAGAACCCCGGCGAGGGGAGUGAAAAAGAACCUGAAACCGUGUACGUACAAGCAGUGGGAGCACGCUUAGGCGUGUGACUGCGUACCUUUUGUAUAAUGGGUCAGCGACUUAUAUUCUGUAGCAAGGUUAACCGAAUAGGGGAGCCGAAGGGAAACCGAGUCUUAACUGGGCGUUAAGUUGCAGGGUAUAGACCCGAAACCCGGUGAUCUAGCCAUGGGCAGGUUGAAGGUUGGGUAACACUAACUGGAGGACCGAACCGACUAAUGUUGAAAAAUUAGCGGAUGACUUGUGGCUGGGGGUGAAAGGCCAAUCAAACCGGGAGAUAGCUGGUUCUCCCCGAAAGCUAUUUAGGUAGCGCCUCGUGAAUUCAUCUCCGGGGGUAGAGCACUGUUUCGGCAAUCAUCCCGACUUACCAACCCGAUGCAAACUGCGAAUACCGGAGAAUGUUAUCACGGGAGACACACGGCGGGUGCUAACGUCCGUCGUGAAGAGGGAAACAACCCAGACCGCCAGCUAAGGUCCCAAAGUCAUGGUUAAGUGGGAAACGAUGUGGGAAGGCCCAGACAGCCAGGAUGUUGGCUUAGAAGCAGCCAUCAUUUAAAGAAAGCGUAAUAGCUCACUGGUCGAGUCGGCCUGCGCGGAAGAUGUAACGGGGCUAAACCAUGCACCGAAGCUGCGGCAGCGACACUAUGUGUUGUUGGGUAGGGGAGCGUUCUGUAAGCCUGUGAAGGUGUGCUGUGAGGCAUGCUGGAGGUAUCAGAAGUGCGAAUGCUGACAUAAGUAACGAUAAAGCGGGUGAAAAGCCCGCUCGCCGGAAGACCAAGGGUUCCUGUCCAACGUUAAUCGGGGCAGGGUGAGUCGACCCCUAAGGCGAGGCCGAAAGGCGUAGUCGAUGGGAAACAGGUUAAUAUUCCUGUACUUGGUGUUACUGCGAAGGGGGGACGGAGAAGGCUAUGUUGGCCGGGCGACGGUUGUCCCGGUUUAAGCGUGUAGGCUGGUUUUCCAGGCAAAUCCGGAAAAUCAAGGCUGAGGCGUGAUGACGAGGCACUACGGUGCUGAAGCAACAAAUGCCCUGCUUCCAGGAAAAGCCUCUAAGCAUCAGGUAACAUCAAAUCGUACCCCAAACCGACACAGGUGGUCAGGUAGAGAAUACCAAGGCGCUUGAGAGAACUCGGGUGAAGGAACUAGGCAAAAUGGUGCCGUAACUUCGGGAGAAGGCACGCUGAUAUGUAGGUGAAGUCCCUCGCGGAUGGAGCUGAAAUCAGUCGAAGAUACCAGCUGGCUGCAACUGUUUAUUAAAAACACAGCACUGUGCAAACACGAAAGUGGACGUAUACGGUGUGACGCCUGCCCGGUGCCGGAAGGUUAAUUGAUGGGGUCAGCGCAAGCGAAGCUCUUGAUCGAAGCCCCGGUAAACGGCGGCCGUAACUAAUAACGGUCCUAAGGUAGCGAAAUUCCUUGUCGGGUAAGUUCCGACCUGCACGAAUGGCGUAAUGAUGGCCAGGCUGUCUCCACCCGAGACUCAGUGAAAUUGAACUCGCUGUGAAGAUGCAGUGUACCCGCGGCAAGACGGAAAGACCCCGUGAACCUUUACUAUAGCUUGACACUGAACAUUGAGCCUUGAUGUGUAGGAUAGGUGGGAGGCUUUGAAGUGUGGACGCCAGUCUGCAUGGAGCCGACCUUGAAAUACCACCCUUUAAUGUUUGAUGUUCUAACGUUGACCCGUGAUCCGGGUUGCGGACAGUGUCUGGUGGGUAGUUUGACUGGGGCGGUCUCCUCCUAAAGAGUAACGGAGGAGCACGAAGGUUGGCUAAUCCUGGUCGGACAUCAGGAGGUUAGUGCAAUGGCAUAAGCCAGCUUGACUGCGAGCGUGACGGCGCGAGCAGGUGCGAAAGCAGGUCAUAGUGAUCCGGUGGUUCUGAAUGGAAGGGCCAUCGCUCAACGGAUAAAAGGUACUCCGGGGAUAACAGGCUGAUACCGCCCAAGAGUUCAUAUCGACGGCGGUGUUUGGCACCUCGAUGUCGGCUCAUCACAUCCUGGGGCUGAAGUAGGUCCCAAGGGUAUGGCUGUUCGCCAUUUAAAGUGGUACGCGAGCUGGGUUUAGAACGUCGUGAGACAGUUCGGUCCCUAUCUGCCGUGGGCGCUGGAGAACUGAGGGGGGCUGCUCCUAGUACGAGAGGACCGGAGUGGACGCAUCACUGGUGUUCGGGUUGUCAUGCCAAUGGCACUGCCCGGUAGCUAAAUGCGGAAGAGAUAAGUGCUGAAAGCAUCUAAGCACGAAACUUGCCCCGAGAUGAGUUCUCCCUGACUCCUUGAGAGUCCUGAAGGAACGUUGAAGACGACGACGUUGAUAGGCCGGGUGUGUAAGCGCAGCGAUGCGUUGAGCUAACCGGUACUAAUGAACCGUGAGGCUUAACCUUACAACGCCGAAGGUGUUU